UACGUAGGGUGCGAGCGUUGUCCGGAAUUAUUGGGCGUAAAGGGCUCGUAGGCGGUCUGUUGCGUCAGGAGUGAAAACUCGGGGCUUAACCCCGAGCCUGCUUCUGAUACGGGCAGACUAGAGGUAUGCAGGGGAGAACGGAAUUCCUGGUGUAGCGGUGAAAUGCGCAGAUAUCAGGAGGAACACCGGUGGCGAAGGCGGUUUUCUGGGCAUUACAUGACGCUGAGGAGCGAAAGUGUGGGGAGCGAACAGG
rnacentral:rRNA from 1 species